ACACCCAUGUUUUAGCAGUUUAGCUACUUAAACCAAAAUAUGGAUAUAAAAGAAAAAAAUUAAGUGCUCGGAAUUUGUACUCCGUAAAACAAUUCUUUUUGUACAGCUUUCUAUUUGUUUUCGCCUUCGAGUUUUCUGUUAUGGGCUUUUUAUAAUUAUCUUACACAUGAGUAUGUUUCGAUAAAUAUUUGUGAAAGUAAAGUAACUUCUUGUUCUAAAUUGCCUGCUUGGGUUACUGGAUACCCUGUUGCUCAAUUUUUUAUUUUCAAUUGGGCUAAUCUUGUGUACGAAAGUUAAGGCCCAAGUUUCGAAACCAAAUUUGGGUUUUAAAACUUAACACUCGAGAUUCAAUUCAUUCUUUAAGUUUUUUGGGUGUUGAGUGGGAUAGACGCACACCAUUAUCGUCAAUGGCCAUCGUCUCAGGUAUUAAGACGUCAUGCGAACGGUUUCCUGACGUGGGUUUAUCAGGACCAACAUAAUGAUGCUGAUUCGGAAAAAAGAAGUGCAGAUAAGUUAACGACGUAGUUCGAAAGAAAAUUCAUUAAGUUUUAAAAAGGGGCCAUUUAGGGGGGAAAACACGAUUUUUCCUUGUUUCAGCAUGUUGUUCCCUGACAAAAUGCAAAAAUAAAAUUAAAAUAAAGAAUAAUGCAGAAUAUCCAUGUAUUUAUAGGUCUUAUUUUGUUUCGAGUACUCCGUAUUCAGCAGCAACCUACCCGCAAAAAAAAAGUAUUCAGCUGCAACCUACGGUUACCUUCAAUCUGACCGCACUGGAGCCGGCCAUCCCGGCAGCCCACGAGCACAUCAAUCCAUCCACCGUGACGGCGGCGAGCUCAUCCGGCCGCAACUGCCCUACUUCGUGCCACACAAACAAUGAAGGGGCGCUACGACUGGCGCCCUGACAUGUGCCGACCACGACGGCCGUGCCGCUCCGCCCCCGAGCUGCUUGUCUUGGGCGCCGCCGCUGGCCCGAGCCGCUCGCCGAGGACGACGCCCGCCCCCUGACAGCGACGCACAGGCCGAAGCCAACUGGCCCAUUACAGGCAGGAGCAAGUGGACAAGGGCCGCGGGCAAGCCCACGUAAAGGUUUCCCGGCAAGAGUGGGCACAUGCAGCCCGCUCCACUUUCAGCCCUGGGAUAGCUAUCGGCAAUACUGGUUUUGGAGCCCACACGUCAGUAAGAACCCCAAAAUCAGCGCCAGGAAUACUAGUUUGCCAAAUUUAUUACUCUGUACUGUAUCUCUCAAGAGAAACAGUUUUCUAUUGAGAAAAACUACUACUUGCAAGUUGCAAACUUGUUUUUUCUUCAGCGGGACUAAUUCUGAUACGUAUCUCCAGUUCCAGGA